CAAUAGCGUAUAUUUAAGUUGCUGCAGUUAAAAAGCUCGUAGUUGGAUUUCGGGUGGGAAUGGCCGGUCCGCCGUUUCGGUGUGCACUUGCUACGCCCACCUUGCUGCCGGGGACGUGCUCUUGAGUUCACGCUCGGGACACGGAGUCGGCGAGGUUACUUUGAGUAAAUUAGAGUGUUCAAAGCAGGCCUACGCUCUGGAUACAUUAGCAUGGAAUAACACGAUAGGACUCUGGCCUAUCUUGUUGGUCUGUAGGACCGGAGUAAUGAUUAAGAGGGACAGUCGGGGGCAUUCGUAUUUCAUUGUCAGAGGUGAAAUUCUUGGAUUUAUGAAAGACGAACUACUGCGAAAGCAUUUGCCAAGGAUGUUUUCAUUAA
rnacentral:rRNA from 1 species